AGUAUGACUCUCGGCAAUGGAUAUCUUGGCUCUUGCAUCGAUGAAGAACAUAAUGAAAUAUGAUACAUGGUGUGAAUUGUAGAAUCCCAUGAACCAUCAAGUCUUUGAAUGCAAGUUGCACCCGAGGCCAUCUGGCCGAGGGCACGCCUGCCUAGGCAUCACGC
rnacentral:rRNA from 1 species